rnacentral:rRNA from 1 species
AUUGAACGCUGGCGGCAGGCCUAACACAUGCAAGUCGAGCGGUAGCACAGGGAGCUUGCUCUCGGGUGACGAGCGGCGGACGGGUGAGUAAUGUCUGGGAAACUGCCUGAUGGAGGGGGAUAACUACUGGAAACGGUAGCUAAUACCGCAUAACGUCGCAAGACCAAAGAGGGGGACCUUCGGGCCUCUUGCCAUCAGAUGUGCCCAGAUGGGAUUAGCUAGUAGGUGGGGUAACGGCUCACCUAGGCGACGAUCCCUAGCUGGUCUGAGAGGAUGACCAGCCACACUGGAACUGCGACACGGUCCCGACUCCUACGGGAGGCAGCAGUGGGGAAUAUUGCACAAUGGGCGCAAGCCUGAUGCAGCCAUGCCGCGUGUAUGAAGAAGGCCUUCGGGUUGUAAAGUACUUUCAGCGGGGAGGAAGGUGUUGAGGUUAAUAAUCUCAGCAAUUGACGUUACCCGCAGAAGAAGCACCGGCUAACUCCGUGCCAGCCGCCGCAGUAAAAC